rnacentral:rRNA from 1 species
CACGGGGGGAGCAAGCGUUGUUCGGAAUCACUGGGCGUAAAGGGCGUGUAGGCGGUCAAGUAAGUGGAAUGUGAAAGCCCCCGGCUCACCCGGGGAUCUGCAUCCCAAACUGCUUGGCUUGAGUACGGGAGAGGAUAGGGGAAUUCCUGGUGUAGCGGUGAAAUGCGUAGAUAUCAGGAGGAACACCGGUGGCGAAGGCGCCUAUCUGGCCCGAUACUGACGCUGAGGCGCGAAAGCGUGGGUAGCAAACAGG